ACGGGUGAGUAAUGCUUAGGAAUCUGCCUAUUAGUGGGGGACAACAUUUCGAAAGGAAUGCUAAUACCGCAUACGUCCUACGGGAGAAAGCAGGGGAUCUUCGGACCUUGCGCUAAUAGAUGAGCCUAAGUCGGAUUAGCUAGUUGGUGGGGUAAAGGCCUACCAAGGCGACGAUCUGUAGCGGGUCUGAGAGGAUGAUCCGCCACACUGGGACUGAGACACGGCCCAGACUCCUACGGGAGGCAGCAGUGGGGAAUAUUGGACAAUGGGCGCAAGCCUGAUCCAGCCAUGCCGCGUGUGUGAAGAAGGCCUUAUGGUUGUAAAGCACUUUAAGCGAGGAGGAGGCUACUGAAGUUAAUACCUUCAGAUAGUGGACGUUACUCGCAGAAUAAGCACCGGCUAACUCUGUGCCAGCAGCCGCGGUAAUACAGAGGGUGCAAGCGUUAAUCGGAUUUACUGGGCGUAAAGCGCGCGUAGGCGGCUAAUUAAGUCAAAUGUGAAAUCCCCGAGCUUAACUUGGGAAUUGCAUUCGAUACUGGUUAGCUAGAGUGUGGGAGAGGAUGGUAGAAUUCCAGGUGUAGCGGUG
rnacentral:rRNA from 1 species